GACGAGUUUUUACCUCGACGUCCCCGGCCCCUCUUCCAACACCGACCUUGAAAGUCAAAGCCAGGUCAAGCCAGUCUGUGGUUCUGAUUUGCCAGGCCCCAAAAGGCAACCAUGGAGUUCUGUUCAAGCUGUUCCAGGAAAGAGAGGAGGUGGACUUGGUGAACUUACAGUAUGGGGCUGAAGAGGUUCAGUUCACCGUCAGGGUGGACACAAAAAAGCCUAAAAUCUUCUGCUGUCUGUACAAGGACCAGCAGGGACUCUACAGUUUAAUAAGUCCCUACUUGGAUCUAGACGACCACAACGAUGAUGCCCCUACUGUCUUGCCUUCAAUCCCCCCUCCGCUCUUGUCUGUGGAUCCCCCCACAGACGUGGUAAAACCAGGAGCCACACUCCAUUUCAGCUGCAGCAUCCCCACUCAUCAAUCCCAGUCUCAAUCCCAGUCCCAGAAGCCAUCUUCUUUUCUCCUGCUGAGGACCGCUCAGCCAACAGGGGUUACGUCGGUCAUCCUAAGCCCGAAGGCCAGUCGGGUUUCAGACACCCCGCUGCCUGGGGUUUUCACAGUGGGACCGGUGAGGAAAGGAGAUGAGGGCGAGUACAUACCAGAUUACCAAAAGACGAGGAUUGGUUAACUCAACCGCCAGCAAUGUCAUUAAAAUCAUCAUUGCAGGUGAGAAUGUUCUGGAUGAUAUUUUUGGGUUACUUUUAUAAAGUAUUAGGAAUAUUCUUGUCCAAUAUUUGGGCAUUAACCUCCAUCAUCAGAAUGUCUUGUUGGAACUCUGUUUUCUCAGACAAGCUGCCAACGCCCAGCCUCGUCCUGCAGCAGCAGACAGAUGUGUGGCACUUGCUCUGCGCCGGCUCUGCUGCGUACCCCGGUGCCACGUUCUCCCUCUUCCUGGCAGACAAUGAAGCUCCUGUUGCCACCCAAAGGGCUUCAGUAACCCAGCAUCAAGCAGUGUUCCCCCUCCCUGUCCAAGACUCCUCUGUGGCUUUGUAUGAGUGUCAAUACAGCGUCCUGCUGGGCAGCAUGUGGAGCAAUUCUGACAGAAGCGUGGCUGUGUCUGUGACUAAAGGAAACUCACCAUUGUCUUCUUCAGGUGUGGACUGGCCUCUUCUUGUGGGCUCUUCUUCUGCUGCUGUGCUGUUUCUCUGCUCACUGGUGCUCAUAGCUGUGGUAGCUCACAGAAAAGUAAAAGCAGCAGCGGAGAAAAAGAAGAAUAGGCAGGAAGCACAGUUCUGGACUAAAGUUCACGGCAGAGACCAUGUUGUUGAUCUUACUCUCCGACGAACAAGUUUUACAUAUCAGGAAUGGAACAGCGGGGUCACGGAAACGGCCUCCAGAUCAUCUCUGUGGAACCCCCUCUCUACAUUCACAACCGAGAUCCAUUAGACAUGCAAGUUUCCUCCACACACGUGUUUGUGUGUGUGCGCACUUUAUCAGAGUUUAUCUGUGUAGAAUCAAUUAGUAUUUCACAGCAGGACAGGAAAAUGUAUUGUUUCACUUUGUUUUUUUCAAAGAUUUGUGUGCUUGUGACUGUACAGUUAGACAGGAAAUGAUGCGUCUUUGAUGUUAAGCUAUUAAUGGAAUCACUGGGUUAUUACAAUUUUUCUGUAAAGAUACAUGAAUGUUUUAUUUUUAUGAUUCUAAAGGUUAAAUUUUGAUGCUAAAAAUCCCAAAUUACUUUAGUCUUUGUCUACUUGUCAGUGAUUUUCUUUG
rnacentral:lncRNA from 1 species